rnacentral:rRNA from 1 species
UACGGGGGGAGCAAGCGUUGUUCGGAUUUACUGGGCGUAAAGGGCGCGUAGGCGGCGUGACAAGUCACUUGUGAAAUCUCCGGGCUUAACUCGGAACGGUCAAGUGAUACUGUCGUGCUAGAGUACAGAAGGGGCAACUGGAAUUCUCGGUGUAGCGGUGAAAUGCGUAGAUAUCAGGAGGAACACCAAUUGCGAAGGCAGCUCGCUGGGACGUUACUGACGCUGAGACGCGAAAGCGUGGGGAGCAAACAGG